UGUACCAGGUAGUACCUACCUUACAGUAGGUACUUGUAAUCUGCCUUCCAAGGCUUUUGUGUACCUUCCUGUUAAAUGUUACUUGGAAUCAACAAAUGAAGCUGGAUGCAACUCCAUCCUUUUAUGCAGUUAUUAUCUCCACAGGCCAGAUUGUACGUGUCUCCCAGCAUACUCCUUACAGCAGUUUCCAUCACCCAUGAGCCCCUUGUUAUCACCGGUGUGCCUGCAUACCCACAUAUGUUCAAAAUGAAGCUACUGACUGCCAGCUCUGGGGAAAUAUUCAAAGGAGAAAAGAGCAGCUAACUAUAUAACUCCCACUGAGAGUCAGAAUGGGUGAGAACUUAGAAUACCAUAUCAUUAUGUAAGAGCAGUAAAAGAGCAAACGUCCAAACUACUUCCUGGGCUCCUGAGUUCUGAAUUAUUGCAAUGAGAUAUAAAACUCAGAAUGAGACAAAUGAAGAGAUGAGAAUCAUGUAUAAGCUUUUAUCUCCAGUUGGCUUCAGGAGGAGAUGCACAUGCCACGUAUAACAGCAGGCUGUGGGCCAUCCAGAUGUGAGAGUAGAGAAUUGAAGGAUCCGUCAGUGUGUUAUGACUCACAGGAAAUGGCACUUUGAAUGAUCUCCUUGCAGUUCAGCAUUGUGUGAGGACUGAACGGACGUGAAUCUACGGUUUGUUGGGAAUCAUUGUCAGAAAGUAAAGAAAGCCACACAGGUAGGCACUCAGGCAUUCUAGAAGCACUUACUUUCAUUUGUUAACAUUGGUUUUUAUUAGUUUCCAAGUUGCUUGGAAAUUUUCUUUGCAUUAUUUAUAUCUUAAG